GCCUAGCGCUCAGUGCUAGAGCAUCUGCUUUGCAGGCAGAAGGUCCCAGGUUUAAUCACUGGCUCUCCAGGUA